UUGCCAGCAGCCGCGGUAAUACGGAAGGUCCGGGCGUUAUCCGGAUUUAUUGGGUUUAAAGGGAGCGCAGCGGCUUAUUAAGCGUGCCGUGAAAUGUAGACGCUCAACGUCUGAAUUGCGGCGCGAACUGGUUGGCUUGAGUUCACUGGAAGUUGGCGGAAUUCGUGGUGUAGCGGUGAAAUGCUUAGAUAUCACGAAGAACUCCGAUUGCGAAGGCAGCUGACUGUGGUGUUACUGACGCUCAUGCUCGAAAGCGCGGGUAUCGAACAGGAUUAGAUACCCUGGUAGUCCGCGCGGUAAACGAUGGAUGCCCGCUGUUUGUCCUUUAGGAUGAGCGGCCAAGCGAAAGCGUUAAGCAUCCCACCUGGGGAGUACGCCGGCAACGGUGAAACUCAAAGGAAUUGACGGGGGCCCGCACAAGCGGAGGAACAUGUGGUUUAAUUCGAUGAUACGCGAGGAACCUUACCCGGGCUUGAACUGCAGGAGAACGAGACAGAGAUGUUGAGGCCCUUCGGGGCUCCUGUGGAGGUGCUGCAUGGUUGUCGUCAGCUCGUGCCGUGAGGUGUCGGCUUAAGUGCCAUAACGAGCGCAACCCCUCUCCGUAGUUGCCAUCAGGUGAUGCUGGGCACUCUGCGGACACUGCCACCGCAAGGUGUGAGGAAGGUGGGGAUGACGUCAAAUCAGCACGGCCCUUACGUCCGGGGCUACACACGUGUUACAAUGGGGGGCACAGAGGGACGGCGCCGGCAACGUCGGUCCAAUCUUGAAAUCCCCUCUCAGUUCGGAUUGGGUCUGCAACCCGACCCCAUGAAGCUGGAUUCGCUAGUAAUCGCGCAUCAGCCAUGGCGCGGUGAAUACGUUCCCGGGCCUUGUACACACCGCCCGU
rnacentral:rRNA from 1 species